CUCUUCCAAUCUGGCAGUUUACGUCGGGGUAAGGGAUAACUCACUGUCCUUCCAGUUUCUCAUCACCCUCACUGACAGGGUAAUGGCUUCAAACUCAGUACACUAGAGUCUCGGCCAUUCUCCGUCACACAUUGAGAGAGGGACGGGGAGCGGGGAACCAUGGUGGAUGUCUACAGGGUUCAGCAGGAUGUAAACUCCAGGGCACUGCCCCACACACUGACCCUUGACUGAAGCCCAGUGACUGCUCAGAACAGACAAGUCCGCCCUCUUUAACCUGACUCCCCUCCUCGUCCUUUCUGCUGGAGCCCUUCCUCAAAUCCCACCGGGAACAGUUGGGCAUCCCAGUUAAAAGGUGCAGCAGUACAGAGCGGUGUCCAGGGCAUUUGGUGCCAUCUCUUUGACACACACAUGUAGACAAGAAAGCGUCAGGGGCACGGGGGUGGUGGUAAUGGGCAGACACGGACUGUGGGACAGUCCCAGUGUGGAGGCUGAUCCUGUCUUGAUUUAGAUUGUGCUGAUUGGAAUUAUUACUGUCUCUCUCUGUAUUACCCUCUUGAUUUCACAUUGUUUGUUACACCAAGGUUUGGAAAGCUCACAAUGUCUUCUGUGCUUCCAGUGAUUGUGAUUGAACUGUAACAUUGCAGUUUCAUCAGCUCAAUAAACGAGCAUCAAAACAAAAA